UACGGAGGGUGCAAGCGUUAUCCGGAUUUACUGGGUUUAAAGGGUGCGUAGGUGGGUAGGUAAGUCAGUGGUGAAAUCUUCAAGCUUAACUUGGAAACUGCCAUUGAUACUAUUUAUCUUGAAUACUUUGGAGGUAAGCGGAAUAUGUCAUGUAGCGGUGAAAUGCUUAGAUAUGACAUAGAACACCAAAUUGCGAAGGCAGCUUACUACACAGUAAUUGACACUGAGGCACGAAAAGCGUGGGGAGUC
rnacentral:rRNA from 1 species